rfam:Pelecanus crispus contig100047, whole genome shotgun sequence.
UGGCAGUGAUGACUAUCUUAGGACACCUUUGGAAUAACCAUGAAACAAUAGUGCUUUCUUUCUGAGCCAU